GACAUUUCAUAUGCGCGGGACAUUUUCGCGGUUUUGAAUAGGUUUAGUUGCUAUACGGAGAACCUAUACCGAGAACAUGUUCUCGGUAGAGGGUUUAUAAAUAUACCCCACAGCCGCGAAGCCCCUUCUCCUUCCUCUCUGGUUUCUCUCGGUUUUCUCCGAGCCGUUCGCCUCCCUCCGCCAUUUUCCUCCGUUUUCCUCCCAAAAAGCUCGGUUUUAAGCCUCAAAAUUGCCAAGGGUGAAGGGAUUUCUGUGUAUUUGUUGAAGGUUGGGUAUUCGGUUUUUGUUGGACUAAAGAGAUUGCUAGCAAGAUAUUGAAGGCAUUGGACACACACGUGGAUUAAUUUGACCGUCAGAUAUCCCAGCUGAUUGUGAACGAGCGCCUCCAAAUAAACGUGGACGCCAUAAAGGAUUGAACACGCGGGAAAAGAGGGAACAGUUGGGGCGUCCUCUCCCUCUCGAGUGGGAUGUGCGGGGGAGAACAUAUAAAGAGAUCGAAGAGUACAGCUCAAAUUUCUCAAGAGAGCUCGGAUUAC